GUUCGAUUCCGGAGAGGGAGCCUGAGAAACGGCUACCACUUCCAAGGAAGGCAGCAGGCGCGCAAAUUACCCAAUCCCGACACGGGGAGGUAGUGACAAUAAAUAACAAUACGGGGCUCUUUAGGGUCUCGUAAUUGGAACGAGUACAAUUUAAAUCCCUUAACGAGGAACAAUUGGAGGGCAAGUCUGGUGCCAGCAGCCGCGGUAAUUCCAGCUCCAAUAGCGUAUAUUAAAGUUGUUGCAGUUAAAAAGCUCGUAGUUGAAUUUCGGGAUUGACGCGACGGUCGUGCCUUAAGGGGCGUGAACUGUCGCCGUUGAUUUCUCACCUUCUGGAGAAGCUCGAUGUCCUUAAUUGGAUGUCUUGUGGAACCAGGACCUUUACCUUGAAAAAAUUAGAGUGUUUAAAGCAGGCAUUUUGCUCGAAUACAUUAGCAUGGAAUAAUAGAAUAGGACGGCAUGGUUCUAUUUUGUUGGUUUCUAGGAUCACCGUAAUGAUUAAUAGGGAUAGUUGGGGGCAUUAGUAUUCAAUUGUCAG
rnacentral:rRNA from 1 species